GAUGAAGAACGCAGCGAAAUGCGAUAAGUAAUGUGAAUUGCAGAAUUCCGUGAAUCAUCGAAUUUUUGAACGCAUAUUGCGCCCUCUGGUAUUCCGGAGGGCAUGCCUGUCCGAGCGUCAUUGCUGCCCUCAAGCCCGGCUUGUGUGUUGGGUCUCGUCCCCCUUCCCGGGGGGACGGGCCCGAAAGGCAGCGGCGGCACCGCGUCCGGUCCUCGAGCGUAUGGGGCUUUGUCACCCGCUCUGUAGGCCCGGCCGGCGCUUGCCGAUCAACCAAAACUUUUUUCCAGGUUGACCUCGGAUCAGGUAGGGAUACCCGCUGAACUUAAGCAUAUCAAUAAGCGGAGGA
rnacentral:misc_RNA from 1 species